rnacentral:rRNA from 1 species
UACGUAGGGUGCAAGCGUUUGUCCGGAAUUAUUGGGCGUAAAGAGCUCGUAGGCGGUUUGUCGCGUCUGCUGUGAAAACCCGAGGCUCAACCUCGGGCCUGCAGUGGGUACGGGCAGACUAGAGUGCGGUAGGGGAGAUUGGAAUUCCUGGUGUAGCGGUGGAAUGCGCAGAUAUCAGGAGGAACACCGAUGGCGAAGGCAGGUCUCUGGGCCAUUACUGACACUGAGAAGCGAAAGCAUGGGGAGCGAACAGG